CUCAUGGAGAGUGAAACACAGAAGGAUUUUCAUACAAGAAAACAGAUCAAAUCCAGGCCUGCAUCUUCCAUGUGUCUUCUGACAAACUGGAGCUGAGGUUUCACAUCUGUUUUAUAAGAA